UACGGGGGGGGGCAAGCGUUGUUCGGAAUUACUGGGCGUAAAGGGCUCGUAGGCGGCCAACUAAGUCAGACGUGAAAUCCCUCGGCUUAACCGGGGAACUGCGUCUGAUACUGGAUGGCUUGAGUUUGGGAGAGGGAUGCGGAAUUCCAGGUGUAGCGGUGAAAUGCGUAGAUAUCUGGAGGAACACCGGUGGCGAAGGCGGCAUCCUGGAACGCAACUGACGCUGAGACGCGAAAGCGUGGGGGAGCAAACAGG
rnacentral:rRNA from 1 species